AUUGAACGCUGGCGGCAUGCCUUACACAUGCAAGUCGAACGGCAGCAUGGAAGAGCUUGCUCUUCUGAUGGCGAGUGGCGAACGGGUGAGUAAUACAUCGGAACGUACCUUAUCGUGGGGGAUAACGCAGCGAAAGCUGUGCUAAUCCCGCAUACGCCCUGAGGGGGAAAGCGGGGGAUCGAAAGACCUCGCGCGACUAGAGCGGCCGAUGCCUGAUUGGCUUGUGUGUGGGGUAAAAGCCCACCAAGGCGACGAUCAGUAGCUGGUCUGAGAGGACGAUCAGCCACACUGGGACUGAGACACGGCCCAGACUCCUACGGGAGGCAGCAGUGGGGAAUUUUGGACAAUGGGGGCAACCCUGAUCCAGCAAUGCCGCGUGAGUGAAGAAGGCCUUCGGGUUGUAAAGCUCUUUUGUCAGGGAAGAAACACCGGCUCUAACACAGUCCGGGAAUGACGGUACCUGAAGAAUAAGCACCGGCUAACUACGUGCCAGCAGCCGCAGUAA
rnacentral:rRNA from 1 species